rnacentral:lncRNA from 1 species
AACAUUUCGAACCCGUUGGUUCUAUGCAGGGACAGUUUAUAGGAGAAUGGUUGAACCACUGGACAUUGCUGCCUUCUAUAGAGAGGGUGGAACAGACUACAUAAACAAUGGAAGAUCUCUUCAUUACAAGCUGUUGCAGCAAUGGUAUGAAGAAGAUGUGAAACCCCCCUCUAGAGAUAAGCUUGAUUCCAAGAAGCAAAAGGUGUCUGGUAUCCUAACUGAGGAUUCUUUGUUUUGGGCACAUGUGGAGGAGGCCAUCUUGUCAUGCGAAUUGCUCAAGAGUAAAAACUGUACUCUUGAGCAGGGAAAAUCAUCAUGGGAUAAUCUAGUUAAGUUCGAGGAGUAUGUAAUGGAACAGAUUAACAACUAUGCAGCGUCCCCUGAGAUUUUCUUGCGGGAAAGCAGCUUCAUGAAAUGGUGGGGACUGUAUGAGGGCUACAUAGAUACUUGCAGUAAUUCCCAUGGGUCGCAAUUGAUCAACUUCAUGAAGAAACGUAGCUAUAUGAAGUAUGGUUAGAGGGGCAAUCCAGUUUGUGUGUUGUGUUUAUUGUUUUGUGAGCGUUCAAUGGAUAAAACUAGAAAGAGUGUGACCUUUUUCCCUUUUUCUUGGUUGCUGCCCAUAUUCUCAGCACUAUUUUCUUCCUUCUUUUCCUCUGUUUUUUUUGAUAGGAAAUGAAUAUUAUGAUGUUGCUGGGAUGCACUUNNNNNNNNNNNNNNNNNNNNNNNNNNNNNNNNNNNNNNNNNNNNNNNNNNNNNNNNNNNNNNNNNNNNNNNNNNNNNNNNNNNNNNNNNNNNNNNNNNNNAGGGGAAGAAAAACAUGUUUGUUUAGAUUCAACUCCACCAAAACUUGCAACAACUUCCCAUUGAAAAUUUCCUUUUAAGCUUCUGACUGACAUAAAACUAGAUAUGUUCCAGCUAGAACGGUACAAGAAAGAAAUCAAAAGAUGAGCACAAGUAGAGAGGAAGCCUCACCAGGAAGGGGCAGCUUUGCAAACCCUCUGGCUCUGUACAGGAACGAAUUAUAGAAAGAUGGUUGAACCACUUGACAUUGCUGCCUACCACAGAGAGGGUGGAAGACACUACAUAACCAAUGGAGGAUCUAAACAUUACACGCUAUUGGAGCAAUGAUGCAAUGAAGAGGAGAAGGGGGCUUUGUCUUCUCAUGCAAAUUGCUCUCAGAGCUCAGAACCUACUCCUGAAGGGAAAGAAUCAUCAUGGAGUGAUCUGGUUAAGUUUGAGGAUUUAUUUAUAUAAUUGAACUGAUUGGAAGCUAUGCAGUGUCGGCCCCCGCCCGAGCAGCUUCAUGAAACGGUGGAAAGAGUUGGAAGAAGUCAUAGAUACUUGCUAUAGGAGCUUCAUGAAGUAUGGAGAGGUGUGGCAUAGAUACUUGCAGUCUCUGAAUUUCCCAAAUCCAAUUUCAGAUUGUGUUUUUAGAUUCGUGGAACUUGUUUUCGGGCUUUUUGUUAGGUACAAUUGAGAUGGGCUGAACCGAAAGGCCCGCCAGGAUGAACAAUAUAAUGGGCCUGAAUUUUAAACCAGUGGAUGGGUUUUGUACUGGAUUCAGCUGUCUGAGCCCAAUGAGUAUUGAAUGUGUUUCUGUAUAAAAUUAAAUUUUUAACAUUGAAAUAUAAGGACUUACUUAAAAACACAUUUGGUAACUUUUUUUUUUUUUGGUUAAUAAUAAAUUUUUUUAAAAAAAAUUAAAAAUAUAUAAUUUUUUUAGAAUAAAUUUGAGGCAUGUUUAGGUAUUUUUUGUGGUAAAGAGUUUUGAGAAGCAAUGAGAAAUAUACAGAAUACUUUAAAAACUUUUGCAUAAGUAAGAUACUUACACGAGGCUUUUAUGAAAAAUAAAUCGAUAAAAACAAUUUUUAUAUUUGAAUUUCAAAACAUAAAACAACUUAGAACUGUUUUUAAAAACUGUUCUUAAAAAUAGUUUUCUAUUAACUCACAUUCAAGGAUGCUUUUAUCUUUUAUUUUUCUAUGUUUCAUCCUUGCAUAAAUGGAGUACAAAGUCGUAAGUUAAUCUAAUUAACAAAUAUAGAUAAUCAUCCGAUAAAUGAGUAAAUUAGGUGAUGAUCUCUUUAUAUAUGCAAGUAAUGGAAUGAAUGUGAUAAAAAAAUAAAAUAAAAAAGUAAGGGGAGAAAUGUUGUAAAUAAAAUGUUUUUAUUGUGGUUCAACGACCUAUCCACUUCCACACCUUGACAUAUUUCACAAUUUUAAAAGUUUUUUUAAUCAUGAUUCUCCUUAUUGUUCUUUAAGUCUGGAUUUCUUAAGUUUCAAUAGACUUUUACAAUCACUAAGAUGACGUUUGUUUUUUCACUUAAUUCUAAAUAUAAGUUAAAACUAAAUAAUAUUUAAUAAUAUCAAGUAUUAGGUUGUUUUUUUUAUAACAUUUUAUUUCUAUAUAAUAUUAAAAAGUAAAGAAAAAUCAGUAUGUUUUUUUUUUAUUUAAAAAAAGUCAAAUAUUUUGACUUUUUUUUAAGCUAAAAAUUUAUAAUAAAAAAUAAAAAAUAAACAAACAAACAAACAACUUGAAGUGUAAAAACAGAUUGUUUUCAAUAAAAAUUUUAAAAAAUAAACACCUUAUAAAUAAAAUUCCUUAACCACUCGUACAAUAGCUUCUUUAAGCACAAAAUGUAUUGAAGCGCUCACAAUGAAAAGAUAAACAAGUUUGGAUUUAAUAUAAUUUUGGGUUAUCUAAUUAAAAAGGUGUAGACCCCCGGAGGCAGACAGUUUUUUUAGUUAUUAUUAUUAUUUGUUUAUUUUUAAUUUUUCCUACCUUUUUCUUCCCAAGCCGCUCGACAUGAUGGGACUAAAGUGGGCUGGUUUUUGGGGCAGAGAGGGGACUCAAGUGGGCGUUUUUUUUUUUUUUUGGGCGGCAGAUGGGAUGGUGUACGGGGGAUGGCUUGUGGAGGAAGACUCAAAACAGGGGAAGGAAGCGAAAGAAAGGCAGGAAAAAAAGUGUUGGAGGACGGGGGGGAUACCUUGCUCAAGGAGAAAACUUUCAGGUAAAAUUUUCUGUGAACUCCAUGUUUCUUCGUUAUGACAUUAUUGUGCUCACUUCUUUUGUUGAUUCCAGGAUGUGAUUUGUUGGUCGGUUUGGAUGUCAUGGAUUAUUGGUUUAUUUUUGCUGAAUUUAUCCGUGUGCGGAGGUGCUCUGUUUGACUCUAUUCUGGUUUCCCUAACUCCUUCCAUAAGCACCUGAAUGUAUGAAUUCAUCCCUGAGCCCGAUUAUAUAAAAAUCAUGCUUUGUUCCCUGUGGUUUCUUCCCUCUGUUUGUUGCUCUAUUCCUUGUUGGUUGUGGGAAUGAGGUCAUCGAUGGCCAGGUUAUCGAAACUGGGGAAGUGACUUCGUGAACGGAUCACCUUCUAUGCACCCAUCUCAUCUUUCUCAUUCACUCAUCACGGCUACACUUCCAUGAUUACACCAUCCUCAGUCAAAUACAUAUCUCCAUACCCAUUUUUCACCUUUCCCGUACCUUCCUCACCUAUCCAUCACACCCAUCGUCAUAUCUAGUUCAUCACUAACCCAUUUUCCUCUCGCCAGCCGUGGUUAUGCUUCGUCCAUCUCAUGCAUACGAUCCCUCACUACUAUUCCUAUAUUCUCAUCCUUCCAAACUCCUCAACACAACACCUAACCCUCAUACCUGCACCCCGCCAUGCCCGCGCCUAGCUCACCCCCAUAGGAACCUCAAAGCCGUUCGCCUACUUGCAUGGGAGCCAUGCAUGCCGCCCCUCCCCGCGUCUUCCUGCACCGGCUAUGUGCGCGCCUGCACCAGCCACCAAUGGCGGCAGCGCCUUCUGGACGUCGCCAGGCCGCUGCCACCUGCUCCGGCAACGCGCGCGCCUGCACCAGCAGCCAUGGCGGCGGCACCUUCUGAACGUCACCAGACCGCCGCCACGGCUCCCCUCUUCCCCGCGCCGCCGCUGCUCCUCUUUUCCCCGCGCCGCCAUGGCUCUCCUCUUCAUCGUGCCGCCGGUGGAGUCUUCGCGGGUGGAGAGGCAAUUGGUGAAGAGAAGCUUUGCCCAUGAUGGUUUUUGGGCUUGGGUUUGAACUGGGAACCCAGGCCCAAGCCUAUGAAGAGAAGCCCAGGUUUAUGAAGGCUUUAAUUGCCUUGGGCUUGCCCAUUAAUAUCAUAUGGAUUGGGCUUGAUGAGGAUGGGGCUUAUUGGUGGAUUUGGGCUUGACUAGGUUUGGGCUUUAUUAGGGUUGCUGAUGGACUGGGUUUGGGCUCUAUUAUUAUUAUUAAUUCAACAUUUAAAAUACUAUUAUUAUCAUUGUUAUUAAUCAAACUUUUAAAAAUCUUAUUAUUACUAUUAUUAUUAUUACGUUUAUCAUUAUUAUUAUUUCUAUUCAACAUUUAAAAUAUUAUUAUCAUUAUUAUUAUUAAUUCAACAUUUAAAAUAUUAUUAUUAUCACUAUCAUUAAUCCAAACUUUCAAAACCCUAUAAUUAUUAUUACUAACCCAAAUUUCAAAAUCUAUUUAUUUAUUAUUAUUUAUUAUUAUCAUUAAUCCAAAUUUCAAAAUCUAUUUAUUAUUGUUAUCCUUAUCAUUAAACCCAACCUCCAAAAUCUCAUCAUUAUCAUUAUUAUUAAUUCAAACUUUCAACACCUAUUUAUUAUUAUUUAUUAUUAUCAUCAGUCCAAACCUCCAAGAUCUCAUCAUUAUUAUUAUAAUUAACUCAACUUUCAAAAUUUAUUUAUUAUUAUUAUCAUCAUUAAUCCAAGCUUUCAAAAAUCUCAUCAUUAUUGUUAUUAUUACCUCAACUUUCAAAAUCUUAUUUUUAUUAUUAUCAUUGAUUAAAACUUUCAAAACCUUAUUAUUAUUAUUAAUUCAAACUUUCUAACUUCCAAUUUCCAAGCCCAAUUUAUAAAAAUUCAACCUUCAAAUGAUACUCCAAAAUUCCGAUCUUUAAAACUCAAUUUCGAUUUCCGAAAAUUCUCAUACUCACUUUAAUCUAUUUAAUUAUUGUUAUUUUGAUUAUUUAUUUCAAAACCCCAUUUCAAAUCAAAUUCUCUAAAACUUCUGAUUCUCGAAUUAAAUUCCUAAUCCCAAAAAUUCUCAUGUUCGCACUAAAUUAUUUGAUCAUUGAUAUUUUAUUUAUUUAUUUAUUUCAAAACUCCAUUUUAAAUCAAAUUCUCUAAAACUUCUGAUUUCCGAAUUAAACUCCUAAUCCCAAAAAUUCUCAUGUUCUCAUUAAUUUAUUUAAUCAUUAGUAUUUUAUCUCCAUUUUAAAUCAACUCUUUAAAACUUCAGAUUUACAAAUUAAAUUCCUAAUCUUGAAAAUUCCCAUAUUCACAUUAAUUUAAUCACUAAUAGUUUGUUUAUUUAUCUUAAAAUUCUAUUUUAAACAAUUCUUUAAACUUUCUAACUUCUAAAUCUAAUUUCCAAUUUCAAAAAUUCCAGCAUUCCAUUCAUUUAUUUAAUCAUUAUUUUCGUCCUUAUUAUUAUUAGUCCAUUUAUUUACUUCAAAAUUUCAUUUUUAAACAUUUUUUUGAAUCCCAAUUUUCGAACUUAAUUUCCAAUUUCUAAAAUUCUAAUUUCCUUCAAGUUUGACAUCCCAAAAUUCCAACUCUUAAAUUUAAUUCUCAAGACUCCAAUCUUCAAAUAAUUUUCGAGACUCCAAUUUCCAAAUAAAUUUCAAAAAUUCAAUUUUCUCUCUAACAGUUUUAAUUCUCUUCGGGUUUCAAAUAAUCUUCGAUUUCUCUUGAUUUUAUAUAAACAUGAAUGCUAUUUUCAUAAUUCCAGAAUAAUGGGAUUUGUGAUAUUAAUUCCUGCAAAAAUGAAUGGGCUUUGGUGGGGGCCCAACAUACGUGCUUUCCUCAUGAUUGAUUGAUUGUUUGAUUGAUUUAAUUGCCAUGCGUGCUUGAUUUUAUUCUGCUCUAUGGCAUGCCCGAAAUUAUCCUUUAAUUGUGCACUAACCUCACUUUUUGAUAAGCGCAUUGUGGCUCGUCACCCAGGUACGUAUCUAUCCCCAUUCUGAUAUUUCCAUAUACAUGUUUUGAUUCUCCUAUGUGCAUGAUAGUUCCGGGUAUUCAUUGUUUUUCCUCAUCAAUUGCCAUGAUUGCUUCAUUUUAUUAGUAGAGACCCAUUUAGGGACUUAGAGGGGUGCUACGGUUCAUACCGUACCUUCCUGAUAAGUAACCUGACCCUCGGACCCGAUCCGGUUUUUCACAGACCACCUUUUCCAAAGUAAGGAGUCACACUUAGGGUUUUUCUUUCUUAUUUUGUUUACCCUUUUAAAAAUAAAACAAAAAUAAGUGGCGACUCCAAGUCAUUUUCUUAAACAAUAAAAAAUCAAAUUUUCAAAUAAAAAUCGAGUCCGCCAUUGAGUGGGAAACGCAUGAGCCGAAAUGCGGGGUCCACAAAAGGUCAUUGAAAACCCAAUUUUAGAAAUAUAACCCUUCAUCAUUUUUUUUAUCUCAUGUUAACAAAAAUGCUCUUAUUAUUUUCUUAUAAAAAUAAUCAUUUCUUUUAAAACACACUAUAAAUACUCCAAAUAGUCAGGGGCUUUUAUGUAUAAAAAAAUGAAUUACUCUUUAAAUAAAAAUAUUGGAGGGAAUAAAUUAACAAAUAUGAGGUAUUUCAUCCCUUUUAUCUAAUUAUUUCUAUAAUUUUAAGAGUUUAAGAAGGCUAGACAAAGACUAAUUAUUAGGCACAUUUUGUAAAAACACUAGUUAUUAGACACAUUUUUCGCUCAAUCAAUCAAUCACGGAGUUGACUAGACACUAAUUAUUGGACUUUUUUUUUUUUUUUUUUAUAAUAAGUGAAAGACAAGAAUACAAUCGACUACUUUGGUCAAUUAAACAAUCAUUCAGUUGACUAUAAACUAAUCUUUAGAUUUUUUUUUUUAUAAUAAUUGGAAGACAUGAAUACAAUCGAUUACUUUGAUUAAUUAAUCAAUUAUUCAAGAAAUUUAGAAAAAUAUUGGAUAAAAGAUAUAUAUAACGGAUUAUUUCAAAUUGAAACUUAAGAUUAUAAAUCUUACUUUUAAUGUUGAAAAAUCAUGUAAAACACAAGUUUUUAUCUUUGAAGUAAUCAAUUUCAUUUUUCACAAAAAAUCAUUAAUAAUGCAUGAAUGAAUUCUUUUAAAAAAUCUUAUAAAAAAUGUGAUUAUUUUUCAUUCCCAAAUACUUAGGUUCUAAAGAUCAAUUUUAAAGCAUACUUAUCCUUACUAUGCCUUACAAGAAAAUCUAUUCUAUACAUAUGAUCUUGUAAAAAAAUGUAAAUAAAAAAAUAAAAUAAAAUAAAAAGAAAAAAAAAAGCCUCUCUUGUUUUCCUCUUUUGACUGGAUAUCAUUACCAUACCUAAAAUUAAAUAUUUAAUUAAAAUAUUAUUUUACUAUCAUCAAAAUUUAGAUUUAACCAAACUUUAGGCUAGUAUGUUGAUACGAUAAGUUAAUUUUCUAUCUUAAAGUUUUAAAAACUUUUGAAAUUAAACAUUUUCUUACACAUUUAUUUUUAAAGUUUUUUAGCAUAAAAUUUAAAAUUGAAGCUUUUAAGGGAAAACCUCAUAAUAUAAUAUACUAGAAAGACAUGGUCAAACAAAUAGAGACGAAGCCUCAAAAGGAAGGGGCAAUGGUUGAACCACUUGACAUUGUUGCCUACUACUAAGAUGGUGUAAGAAACAACAUAACCAAUGGAACAUAUGCACAUUAAACAUUGUACAAUUAUUAUAAAUGUCUUAUACAUUAUGUGUGAAAAUACGAAAUAAAUAAAUAAAAUUAUAUUCAACAUUUAUAUUUGUAUACAAACAAUAUUUUCGAUAGUUUGAUAUAAAAAAACAAAUAAAAAAAUGAAGAAAAGCAUAUAAAUAUAUUUUCAAUGGACAAACUUAUUCAAUUAGUAUAAAUAUCUUGUAUAUUUAAUACAAAUACCUUAUACUUUGUGAAAAUGUAAAAAUAUAGUAUUUGAUAUUUAUAAAUGUGGGUAAGUAAUUUUUCUAAUGGUUUGAUUUAAAAAAAAAAUAAUGAGAAUCAAGAAAUACAUGCAAAUAAAUUAGUGUGAAUGAUAAAGGAUGUUUUUUUACCAUAAAUUUUCAUGGACUUAGCAUCAAUUAUGCAUCUAUAGAUGUUAACCCAAUUAGCAUAAUGUGAAAACCCUUACACACAAUAUAUAAACCCUAUACUUGAAUUAGGAAGGACAAAAAAAAAAUAGUUAGAGCAUUUGGUACCAUCAAUGAUGACUUCACCUAAAGAAAAGUUAAUGAACAUUAUGUUCUCAAUGGAAGAGCAACCCUAGUAGGACAUAUGGAGUAAAUUGAUGCUCUUCUUUCGACAACGAAGUAGCUAAGUCAUGAAAAUGGGGUUUUGCUAACAACAUUAAAUGCAAGAAUUCCCCAAUAUACUGCAAUUCAUAUUCAAUUCAUAGACUUUCAACUAACUACUCUCAAUAACGAGCAAACCCAAGUCAAUACAUAAGAUUGAUUAUUACUUAUGAUAAUUGAAACCAUAAUUAAUAAGACAUAUAUAUAUAUAUAUAUAUAUAUAUAUAUAUAUAUAUAUAUAUAUAUAUAUAUAUAUAUAUAUAUAUAUAUAUAUAUAUAUAUAAAAAAAAUAGAGACAAUUGUGUUUUGGAUCCAGGUGGAUCAAAAAAUAAGGUUUGGUUUAUAGAACUUACAUAAUUGAUGGAAAUGAUAUAAGUUAUCAAAAGACCAAAAUACUCAUUGACCUUUCACGUAAGUUUUUUUGGUCUUUAUUGUACCACUAUUCAUGCAACCAUAAUAAUUUUAUUUUAACUAUUUGGAUUUUUCAUUGUUUUUUAAAACUUUUUUUUUUAUAAAUAAUUGAAAAUCAACAUUAUUUUCUAUUUUAAAUUAUAAAUAAAGAAAAAUUACGUUCAAAAACUAUUUUAAAAAAUACUUUCUAAAAAAAUGGUAAUAUGAUUUAUAUUUUUUACAUUUUCUAUUAGAAAAAAAUAUUUAAUUAAAAAUGAAAAAUAAUUUUUAAAAAUAAAAAUUGAAAACCUUGUUUAGUACUAUUUUUUUAUAUGAAAAUAAUAAAAAUAAUUAAAUUUCAUUAAUUGAUUAUCCAUUAAAUUUUAUAUGAAAAUUUUUUAUAAGAGUAAAAAGAUUCAAUAUCUUUAAAAAAAGAAAAAAAAAACAAAACAAAACAAUAAGUUAGAAAUGAGUAAUACUUAAUUGGGAAUAGAAAAGGGGAAAAAAUUGAAAUUUACACUCAUUAUAUGCCUAUGUAGGGAUUAAAGGUAUUUUAGGGAUUAAUGAAGGAUAAUAUCCUUUAACUUAAUUUUUAUAAUUUAUUUGGGUCUUGACCUUAAAUGUGCAUGAUAUAUGGAUCUUUGGUCAAUUUUUGGGCCCAUUCGGGCCCAAAAUACAAUUCUCCCUACAAAAAUAUUUAUUAAAAUAAAUUAAUUAAUAAAAGCCAUUUAAAGAGUUUCAUAACUUAGUAUCGAAGCUAUUGUAAGAAAAAAGUAUUAUAUAAUGUAGGGUUUAGGUUCAAAGUCUACCUAAGAUUAAAUUUAAGUCUCGAGACAAAUUCACAUUCAAAACUAGGUUUUUAAGUUUGAAAAAUAGAUCCCUUAAACAAAUUAAAUGGUAAAAAAUAAUUACAAAGAAAAUUUCUCUAGCUGGUUUCUUCAUCUUGAAAACUAACGGAAACAUAUAUUAAUAUUUGGUAUGAAAAUUCGUAACCUUAGAAACACAGCUUUGAGUCUUGCUGAGAAAAACAAAGCUUAUUUGCUCGUAGACCAUCGUAGUGGUCGUCAUACCGUGUGAGGACCGGGGAAGCAUCUUUGCUCGUAGACCGGCUUUUGUAGUCUUUCUUUAACAAUUACAAGUUGUCAGGAUUCCCUUCAUCCUCCCAAAUAAUAUUGUUUUUGGUCUUGUUCUGGUUGCAUCUCCGUGGAAGGAAAGAAGAUGAAUCAAGUUCCUUUGUAAGUAUCAAUGUCUCUGAUUCAUUUUUUGGUUCCUAGAAUCGAAUCCUCGCUCUGUUCUUGCUUAAUUUCUCCUUUUUCUGUUGGGUCUUUCACUGCAGGUUUAGCUCUGCACGGGAACUGGCAAAUUUGGUGCUGAGCUCCAAUCUAAUCGACUGUGCUUUCACCAAAAUUCUUGAACUUAAGAGAGGCCAAACAGCCUUGCCUGUUCAAUACAGACUUUAUCAACUGUCUUCCAAGUGCACAAUUGUAGCUUUUGUCUCUUCACCUGACUGCACUCAAUACCCUCUUCCUGGACAAGGAGAUUUAGAUCGGUCUCCUCUCUUUGACUUCCUCCGUACCGAAGAAUACCCGUCCGUCUCCAUUAACAGAGCAGCAUUAGCCCUCUAUACCCCUCUCCAUGAUCAUCUCUCUGGACUAACAGAUGAGGUCAAAAUCUGAUACUUGUUUGAAUUUUCGUUUCCUUUUCGUUAACAAUUGUGAGACACGAAACAGCUUGACCAUGAGAUCUCCCUCAUGGAGUCGAACUACCUGAAGGAUAAGACGUCACACAUAUCCAUUUUCAUGGCAUCGUCACAUGACCCAUUGAUCGGUUGUGAUUCAACUCUUAAUAGGAACACAGUAGAACUGGUGUUGGUAUAUCUGUCUUUAGAUAAGCUUGCAUAUAUCUUGUCACUGAAAAAGGAAUGUUCAGAAGUGAGAUUAGUGGCAUUAUUCUGACAUGGAUUUCAUAUGGUUACUUGUUUUGCAGUUGACUCAGAUUGAAGGUCAGUUAAUCAUCACUGGGCACUCCCUGGGAGGAUCCGUUGCUUCUCUCUUCACCUUACGCCUGCUAGAUGGCAAUUUAUUAAAACCCAAAUGCCGCCCCUUUUGUAUCACCUUUGGUUCACCCCUCAUAGGCGACUUUGGCCUCCAACACUCCAUAUGGAAUUCUUUCUUCCUGCAUGUAGUGUCUAACCAAGACCCAGUCCCCGGACUCUUCCUCCCAUCCGGCAGAUCUCCGCCCACAUCCUCCCAUUCACAAACUACCGGUUACAAGCCCUUUGGGACAUAUCUCUUGUGCUCUGAACUUGGUUGUGCUUGUUUUGACAACCCUGAUUUAAUUUUGGGAUUGCUUAAAGUCAUAUCAUCAGAGGUUGCCGGAGGAUUGCAGGAUGUUGACUAUGGGGAGAUUUUAAGAAACCUCAAGGAGAGGGCAAUCUGCAAGGGACUGCCGCAGGUGGGUGAACGGUUUGCAGAUCCAUUUUCAGCUGGGAUCAUCAUGGAACUUGAGACAAUUGGAUUUAAUCAAACAAAGGUAAACAGCUUUCUCCCAUCUAAUGAUGUUAUGAAACAUGGUUUACACUACACCAAAUACUGCAAUAACUGCCCUAUUCAGAUUUAUCUUCUUGUUCUUUGGGAUCUUCCAUAACUAGUCUCAUUUUUAAAAUUCAUGGCAGUUGCUGCAGCAUAACAUUGAUAUCAACGCUAUGAUAAGAACAAUGGAAGCGGAAACCAGAAGCCUAAUCCAGAAAAAUAAAGCUUCCGAUGCCAAGAAACUGAAUGACAUAAAAAGAGACAUGGCCCAUCUAGAAUGGUAUAAGAAGAAAUCGGAAAUGGGUUACUACGAUUGCUUCAAAAAUCAGGGGUCUAAAAGGGACAUCAACGUUGAACAAUUUAGGGGAAACCUCACAAUGUACUGGGAAGACAUGGUUGCACAAGUACAGAGGAAGCCCCAGAAGGAAGGAGCAACAUUUCGAACCCGUUGGUUCUAUGCAGGGACAGUUUAUAGGAGAAUGGUUGAACCACUGGACAUUGCUGCCUUCUACAGAGAGGGUGGAACAGACUACAUAAACAAUGGAAGAUCUCUUCAUUACAAGCUGUUGCAGCAAUGGUAUGAAGAAGAUGUGAAACCCCCCUCUAGAGAUAAGCUUGAUUCCAAGAAGCAAAAGGUGUCUGGUAUCCUAACUGAGGAUUCUUUGUUUUGGGCACAUGUGGAGGAGGCCAUCUUGUCAUGCGAAUUGCUCAAGAGUCAAAACUGUACUCUUGAGCAGGGAAAAUCAUCAUGGGAUAAUCUGGUUAAGUUCGAGGAGUAUGUAAUGGAACAUAUUAACAACUAUGCAGCGUCCCCUGAGAUUUUCUCGAGGGAAAGCAGCUUCAUGAAAUGGUGGGGACUGUAUGAGGGCUACAUAGAUACUUGCAGUAAUUCCCAUGGGUCGCCAUUGAUCAACUUCAUGAAGAAACGUAGCUAUAUGAAGUAUGGUUAGAGGGGCAAUCCAGUUUGUGUGUUGUGUUUGUUGUUUUGUGAGCGUUCAAUGGAUAAAACUAGAAAGAGUGACCUUUUUCCCUUUUUCUUGGUUGCUGCCCAUAUUCUCAGCACUAUUUUCUUCCUUCUUUUCCUCUGUUUUUUUGUUAAGAAAUGAAUAUUAUGAUGUUGCUGGGAUGCACUUUCAUUGUUGUUCUAUUACAUUGUGUUUUAUUUAUAUCCUAAACAAAUAAAUCAAAACAAGAAAAUCAAAUAAGACUUAAAGAGUCUUUUCCUUCAAAAAAAAAAAUGGGGAAAAAGAAAAACAUUUUUGUUUAGAUUCAACUCCACCAAAACUUGCAACAACUUCCCAUUGAAAAAUUCCUUUUAAGCUUCUGAAUGAUAUAAAACCAGAUAUGUUCCAGCUAGAAUGGUACAAGAAAGAAAUCAAAAGAUGAGUACAGUGGGUUAUUAUGACAGCUUUAGAAACCUGGGGUGUAAAAGAGACAUUAAAAUGGAACCGAUGGGAAGACAUGGUAGAACACGUAGAGAGGAAGCCUCACCAGGAAGGGGCAGCUUUGCAAACCCUCUGGCUCUGUACAGGAACGAAUUAUAGAAAGAUGGUUGAACCACUUGACAUUGUUCCCUACCACAGAGAGGGUGGAAGACACUACAUAACAUUACACGCUAUUGGAGCAAUGAUGCAAUGAAGAGGAGAAGGGGGCUUUGUCUUCUCAUGCAAAUUGCUCUCAGAGCUCAGAACCUACUCCUGAAGGGAAAGAAUCAUCAUUGAGUGAUCUGGUUAAGUUUGAGGAUUUAUUUAUAUAAUUGAACUGAUUGGAAGCUAUGCAGUGUCGGCCCCCGCCCGAGCAGCUUCAUGAAACGGUGGAAAGAGUUGGAAGAAGUCAUAGAUACUUGCUAUAGGAGCUUCAUGAAGUAUGGAGAGGUGUGGCAUAGAUACUUGCAGUCUCUGAAUUUCCCAAAUCCAAUUUCAGAUUGUGUAUUUAGAUUCGUGGAACUUGUUUUCUUGCUUUUUGUUAGGUACAAUUGAGAUGGGCUGAACCGAAAGGCCCGCCAGGAUGAACAAUAUAAUGGGCCUGAAUUUUAAACCAGCGGAUGGGCUUUGUACUGGAUUCAGCUGUCUGAGCCCAAUGAGUAUUGAAUGUAUUUCUGUAUAAAAUUAAAUUUUUAACAUUGAAAUAUAAGGACUUACUUAAAAACACAUUUGGUAACUUUUUUUUUUUUAUGGUUAAUAAUAGAUUUAAAAAAAAAUUAAAAAUAUAUAAUUUUUUAGGAUAAAUUUGAGGCAUGUUUAGGUAUUUUUCGUGGUAAAGAGUUUUGAGAAGCAAUGGGAAAUAUACAGAAUACUUUAAAAACUUUUGCAUAAGUAAGAUACUUACACGAGGCUUUCAUGAAAAAUAAAUUGAUAAAAACAAUUCUCAUAUUUAAAUUUCGAAACAUAAAACAACUCAGAACUGUUUUUAAAAAUUGUUCUUAAAAAUAGUUUUCUAUUAAGUCACAUUCAAGGAUGCUUUUAUCUUUUAUUUUUCUAUGUUUCAUCCUUGCAUAAAUGGAGUACAAAGACAUAAGUUAAUCUAAUUAACAAAUAUAGAUAAUCAUCCGAUAAAAGAGUAAAUUAGGUGAUGAUCUCUUUAUAUAUGCAAGUAAUGGAAUGAAUGUGAUGAAAAAUAAAAUAAAAAAGUAAGGGGAGAAAUGUUGUAAAUAAAGUGUUUUUAUUGUAGUUCAACGACCUAUCCACUUCCGCACCUUGACAUAUUUCACAAUUUUAAAAGUUUUCUUAAUCAUGAUUCUCUUUAUUAUUCUUUAAGUCCGGAUUUCUUAUGUUUCAAUAGACUUUUACAAUCACUAAGAUAGUGUUUGUUUUUUCACUUAAUUCUAAAUAUAACUUAAAACUAAAUAAUAUUUAAUAAUAUCAGGAUUAGGUUGUUUUUUUUAUAACAUUUUAUUUCUAUAUAAUAUUAAAAAGUAAAGAAAAAUCAAUAUAUUAUUUUUUUCAUUUAAAAAAAGUCAAAUAUUUUGACUUUUUUUUAAGCUAAAAAUUUAUAAUAAAAAAUAAAAAACAAACAAACAAACAAACAACUUAAAGUGUAAAAAUAGAUUGUUUUCAAUAAAAAUUUAAAAAAAAACAAACACCUUCUAAAUAAAAUUCCUUAACCACUCGUUCAAUAGCUCCUUUAAGCACAAAAUGUAUUGAAGUGCUCACAAUGAAAAGAUAAACAAGUUUUGAUUCAAUAUAAUUUUGGGUUAUCUAAUUAAAAGGGUCAUUGAAAACCCAAUUUUAGAAAUAUAACCCUUCAUCAUUUUUUUAUCUCGUGUUAACAAAAAUGCUCUUAUUAUUUUCUUAUAAAAAUAAUCAUUUCUUUUAAAACACACUAUAAAUACUCCAAAUAGCCAAGGGCUUUUAUGUAAAAAAAAAUGAAUUACUCUUCAAAUAAAAAUAUUGGAGGGAAUAAAUUCACAAAUAUGAGGUAUUUCAUCCCUUUUAAAUAAUUAUUUCUAUAAUUUUAAGAGUUUAAGAAGGCUAGACAAAGACUAAUUAUUAGGCACAUUUUGUAAAAACACUAGUUAUUAGACACAUUUUUUGCUCAAUCAAGCAAUCACACAGUUGACUAAACACUAAUUAUUGGACUUUUUUUUUUUAUAAUAAGUGGAAGACAAGAAUACAAUCGACUACUUUGGUCAAUUAAGCAAUCAUUCAGUUGACUAUAAACUAGUCUUUAGACAUUUUUUUUUAUAAUAAUUGGAAGACAUGAAUACAAUCGAUUACUUUGGUCAAUUAAUCAAUUAUUCAAGAAAUUUAGAAAAAUAUUGGAUAAAAGAUAUAUAUAACGGAUUAUUUCAAAUUGAAACUUAAGAUCAUAAAUCUUACUUUUAAUGUUGAAAAAUCAUGUAAAACACAAGUUUUUAUCUUUGAAGUAAUCAAUUUCAUUUUUCACAAAAAAUCAUUAAUAAUACAUGAAUGAAUUCUUUUAAAAAAAUCUUAUAAAAAAUGUGAUUAUUUUUCAUUCCCAAAUAUUUAGGUUCUAAAGGUCAAUUUUAAAGCAUACUUAUCCUUACUAUGCCUUACAAGAAAAUCUAUUCUAUACAUAUGAUCUUGUAAAAAACUGUAAAUAAAAAAGAAAAAAAGAAAAAAAACCUCUCUUGUUUUCCUCUUUUGAUUGGAUAUCAUUAUCAUACUUAAAAUUAAAUAUUUAAUCAAAAUAUUAUUUUACUAUCAUCAAAAUUUAGAUUUAACCAAACUUUAGGCUAGUAUGUUGAUACGACAAGUUAAUUUUCUAUCUUAAAGUUUUAAAAACUUUUGAAAUUAAACAUUUUCUUACACAUUUAUUUUUAAAGUUUUUAGCAUAAAAUUUAAAAUUGAAGCUUUUAAAGGAAAACCUCAUAAUAUAAUAUACUAGAAAGACAUGGUCAAACAAAUAGAGACGAAGCCUCAAAAGGAAGGGGCAAUGGUUGAACCACUUGACAUUGUUGCCUACUACUAAGAUGGUGUAAGAAACAACAUAACCAAUGGAACAUAUGCACAUUAAACAUUGUACAAUUAUUAUAAAUGUCUUAUACAUUAUGUGUGAAAAUACCAAAAAAAAAGAAAAAUUAUAUUCAACAUUUACAUUUGUAUACAAACAAUGUUUUCGACAAUUUGAUAUAAAAAACAAAUAAAAAAAAUAAAGAAAAACAUACAAAUAUAUUUACAAUGGACAAACUUAUUCAAUUAGUAUAAAUAUCUUGUAUAUUUAAUACAAAUACCUUAUACUUUGUGAAAAUGUAAAAAUAUAGUAUUUAAUAUUUAUACAUGUGGGUAAGUAAUUUUUCUAAUGGUUUGAUUUAAAAAACAAAUAAUGAGAAUCAAGAAAAACAUGCAAAUAAAUUAGUGUGAAUGAUAAAGGGUGUUUUUUACCAUAAAUUUUCAUGGACUUAGCAUCAAUUAUGCAUCUAUAGAUGUUAACCCAAUUAGCAUAAUGUGAAAACCCUUGCACACAAUAUAUAAACCCUAUACUUGAAUUAGGAAGGACAAAAAAAAAAUAGUUAGAGCAAUUGGUACCAUCAAUGAUGACUUCACCUAAAGAAAGGUUAAUGAACAUUAUGUUCUCAACGGAGAGCAACUCUGGUAGAACAUAUGGAGUAAAUCAAUGCCCUUCUUUUAACGAUGAAGUAGCUAAGUCAUGAAAACAAGGUUUUGCUAACAACAUUAAAGGCAAGAAUUCCCCCAAUAUACUCCAAUUCAUAUUCAAUUCACAGACCUUCAACUAACUACUCUCAGUAACGAGCAAACCCAAGUCAAUACAUAAGAUUGAUUAUUACUUAUGAUAAUUGAAACCCUAAUUAAAUAAAUAAGGACACAAAUAUAUAUAUAUAUAUAUAGGGACAGUUGUGUUUUGGACCUAGGUGAACCCAAAAAUUAAGGUUUGGUUUAUAUAACUUACAUAAUUGAUGAAAAUGAUAUAAGAUAUCAAAAUAUCAAAAUACUCAUUGACCUUUCACAUAAGCUUUUUUGGUAUUUAUUGCACUACUAUUCAUUCAACCAUAAUAAUUCUAUUUUAACUAUUUGGAUUUUUCAUUGUUUUUUAAAACUUUUUAUUUAUAAAUAAUUGAAAAUCAACAUUAUUUUCUAUUUUAAAUUAUAAAUAAAGAAAAAUUACGUUCGAAAACUAUUUUAAAAAAUACUUUCUAAAAAAAAUGGUAAUAUGAUUUAUAUUUUUUAUAUUUUCUUUUAGAAAAAAAUAUUUAAUUAAAAAAUGAAAAAUAUUUUUAAAAAUAAAAAUUGGAAACCUUGUUUAGUACUAUUUUUUUUAUAUAAAAAUAAUAAAAAUAAUUAAAUUUCAUUUAUUGAUUAUCCAUUAAAUUUUAUAUGAAAAUUUUGUAUAAGAGUAAAAAGAUUCAAUAUCUUUAAAAAAAGAAAAAAAAAACAAAACAAAAAGUUAGAAAUGAGUAAUACUUAAUUGGGAAUAGAAAAUGGGAAAAAUUUUGAAAUUUACACUCACUAUAUGUCUACGUAGGGAUUAAGGGUAUUUUAGGGAUUAAUGAAGGAUAAUAUCUUUUAACUUAAUUUUUACAUUUUAUUUGGGUCUUGGGAUUAAAUGUACAUUAUAUAUGGAUCUUUGGUUAAUUUUUGGACCCAUCCGGACCCAAAACACAAUUCUCCAUAAAAAAAUAUUUAUUAAAAUAAAUAAAUUAAUAAAAACCAUUUAGAGAGUUUCAUAACUUAGGUGGUGUUUGUUUUUUUGGCUUUUUGGUGAAAACCAUUUAGUUUUAGAAUUUAGGUUGUUUGUUUUUUUACUUUUUCAUGACUUAUUAUAAACUUUUUACAAAAUAGAAAAAGCCAAAAUAUAUGACUUUUUCUAAAUAGAAAAAUAACACAAUGGUUUUUUUUACUUUUUAAUACUUAAUAGAAAUAAAAUAUUAUAAAAACAAACAACCUAAUAUUUAAUACUAUUAAGUAUUAAAGUUCUAUUUAGAAUUAAGUAAAAAAACAAACACCACCUAAGUGUCGAAGCUAUUGUAAGAAAAAAGUAUUAUAUAAUGUAGGGUUUAGGUUCAAAGUCUACCUAAGAUUAAAUUUAAGUCUUAAGACAAAUUCACAUUCAAAACUAGGUUUUUAAGUUAGAAAAAUAGACCCCUUAAACCAAUUAAAUGGUAAAAAAAAAUUACAAAGAAAAUUUCUCUAGCUGGUUUCUUCAUCUUGAAAACUAACGGAAACAUAUAUCAAUAUUUGGUAUGAAAAUUCGUAACCUUAGAAACACAGCUUUGAGUCUUGCUGAGAAAAACAAAGCUUAUUUGCUCGUAGACCAUCGUAGUGGUCGUCAUACCGUGUGAGGACCGGGGAAGCAUCUUUGCUCGUAGACCGGCUUUUGUAGUCUUUCUUUAACAAUUGCAAGUUGUCAGGAUUCCCUUCAUCCUCCUAUAUAAUAUUGUUUUUGGUCUUGUUCUGGUUGUAUCUCCGUGGAAGGAAGGAAGAUGAAUCAAGUUCCUUUGUAUGUAUCAAUGUCUCUGAUUCAUUUUUUGGUUCCUAGAAUCGAAUCCUCGCUCUGUUCUUGCUUAAUUUCUCCUUUUUCUGUUGGGUCUUUCACUGCAGGUUUAGCUCUGCACGGGAACUGGCAAAUUUGGUGCUGGCCUCCAAUCUAAUCGACUGUGCUUUCACCAAAAUUCUUGAACUUAAGAGAGGCCAAACAGCCUUGCCUGUUCAAUACAGACUUUAUCAACUGUCUUCCAAGUGCACAAUUGUAGCUUUUGUCUCUUCACCUGACUGCACUCAAUACCCUCUUCCUGGACAAGGAGAUUUAGAUCGGUCUCCUCUCUUUGACUUCCUCCGUACCGAAGAAUACCCGUCCGUCUCCAUUAACAGAGCAGCAUUAGACCUCUUUACCCCUCUCCAUGAUCAUCUCUCUGGACUAACAGAUGAGGUCAAAAUCUGAUACUUGUUUGAAUUUUCGUUUCCUUUUCGUUAACAAUUGUGAGACACGAAACAGCUUGACCAUGAGAUCUCCCUCAUGGAGUCGAACUACCUGAAGGAUAAGACGUCACACAUAUCCAUUUUCAUGGCAUCGUCACAUGACCCAUUGAUCGGUUGUGAUUCAACUCUUAAUAGGAAUACAGUAGAACCGGUGUUGGUAUCUGUCUUUAGAUCAGCUUGCAUAUAUCUUGUCACUGAAAAAGGAAUGUUCAGAAGUGAGAUUAGUGGCAUUAUUCUGACAUGGAUUUCAUAUGGUUACUUGUUUUGCAGUUGACUCGGAUUGAAGGUCAAUUAAUCAUCACUGGGCACUCCCUGGGAGGAUCCGUUGCUUCUCUCUUCACCUUACGCCUGCUAGACGGCAAUUUAUUAAAGCCCAAAUGCCAUCCCUUUUGUAUCACCUUUGGUUCACCCCUCAUAGGCGACUUUGGCCUCCAAGACUCCAAAUGGAAUUCUUUCUUCCUGCAUGUAGUGUCUAACCAAGACCCAGUCCCCGGACUCUUCCUCCCAUCCGGCAGAUCUCCGCCCACAUCCUCCCAUUCACAAACUACCGGUUACAAGCCCUUUGGGACAUAUCUCUUGUGCUCUGAACUUGGUUGUGCUUGUUUUGACAACCCUGAUUUAAUUUUGAGAUUGCUGAAAGUCAUAUCAUCAGAGGUUGCCGGAGGAUUGCAGGAUGUUGAUUAUGGGGAGAUUUUAAGAAACCUCAAGGAGAGGGCAAUCUGCAAGGGACUGCCGCAGGUGGGUGAACGGUUUGCAGAUCCAUUUUCAGCUGGGAUCAUCAUGGAACUUGAGACAAUUGGAUUUAAUCAAACAAAGGUAAACAGCUUUCUCCCAUCUAAUGAUGUUAUGAAACAUGGUUUACACUUCACCAUAUACUGCAAUAACUGCCCUAUUCAGAUUUAUCUUCUUGUUCUUUGGGAUCUUCCAUAACUCGUCUCAUUUUUAAAAUUCAUGCCAGCUGCUGCAGCAUAACAUUGAUAUCGACGCUAUGAUAAGAACAAUGGAAGAGGAAACCAGAAGCCUAAUCCAGAAAAAUAAAGCUUCCGAUGCCAAGAAACUGAAUGACAUAAAAAGAGACAUGGCCCAUCUAGAAUGGUAUAAGAAGAAAUCGGAAAUGGGUUACUACGAUUGCUUCAAAAACCAGGGGUCUAAAAGGGACAUCCACGUUGAACAGUUUAGGGUAAACCUCACAAAAUACUGGAAAGACAUGGUUGCACAAGUACAGAGGAAGCCCCAGAAGGAAGGAGCAACAUUUCGAACCCGUUGGCUCUAUGCAGGGACAGUUUAUAGGAGAAUGGUUGAACCACUGGACAUUGCUGCCUUCUACGGAGAGGGUAAAACAGACUACAUAAACAAGAAAAGAUCUCUUCAUUACCAGCUGUUGCAGCAAUGGUAUGAGGAAGAUGUGAAACCCCCCUCUAGAGAUAAGCUUGAUUCCAAGAAGCAAAAGGUGUCUGGUAUCCUAACUGAGGAUUCUUUGUUUUGGGCAUAUGUGGAGGAGGCCAUCUUGUCAUGCGAAUUGCUCAAGAGUCAAAACUGUAC